AGAGUUUGAUCCUGGCUCAGGAUGAACGCUGGCGGCGUGGAUAAGGCAUGCAAGUCGAACGAUCCGAUCCUUCGGGAUUUAGGAUAGUGGCAAACGAGGUAGUAACAAGUGGGAAUGUACCCUUUGGUCAGGAAUAACUAUGGGAAACCAUAGCUAAUACUUGAUAUCCCUCCGGGGAAAAGUUUUAACGCCAAAGGAGCAGCCUGCUUCGUAUCAGCUUGUUGGUAGGGUAACGGCCUACCAAGGCUAUGACGCGUAGGGGGGGUGAGAGCCCGAUCCCCACCGUUGGAACUGCGACACGGUCCAGACACCUACGGGUGGCAGCAGCCGAGAAUAUUCCGCAAUGGGCGAAAGCCUGACGGAGCGACGCCGCGUGACUGAUGAAGCUCUUCGGAGUGUAAAGGUCUUUUAUGAGUGAAGAAAUUAUUGACAUUAGCUCAUGAAUAAGGGGCUCCUAACUCUGUGCCAGCAGGAGCGGUAAUACAGAGGCCCCAAGUGUUAUCCGGAAUAACUGGGCGUAAAGGGUGCGUAGGCGGUUAUAUUAGUCGUAUNUUAAAGACCCUCGCUCAACGAGGGGAAUGCCUACGAAACGAUAUGACUAGAGUCUGUGAGAGGUGUAUGGAACUCAUGGUGUAGGGGUGAAAUCCGUUGAUAUCAUGGGGAACACCAAAUGCGAAGGCAAUACACUGGCACAGUACUGACGCUGAGUGCACGAAACCCUGGGUAGCGAAUGGGAUUAGAUACCCCAGUAGUCCAGGGCCUAAACGAUGCAGAUUAGCUUUAGGGAGUAUCGACCCUCUCUGAGGCGUAGCUAACGCGUUAAAUCUGCCGCCUGGGAAGUACGGCCGCAAGGCUAAAACUCAAAGGAAUAGACGGGGACUCGCACAAGCGGUGGAUCAUGUGGUUUAAUUCGAUGAUAAACGAAAAACCUCACCAGGGCUAGAAAUCUAGCCGUAUGCGAUCCUGGAAACAGGAGAGCCUCCAGGUUAGACAGGUGUUGCAUGGCCGUCGUCAGUUCGUGGUUUGAACUGUUCCCUUAAGUGGGGUAACGAACGAAACCCUCGUCGUGUGUUAUAUGUGUCACACGAGACUGCCCCCUCCCCAGUUUUGAACCUUACAGUAAAUGUAAGAGAUCGAAACUGAUUCGAGAUAUAUUUUCUAUUUAAGUAGAAUAAUAUAUUUCGAAACUGGGGAGGGGGGAGGAAGGAGAGGAUGACGCCAGGUCAGCAUGACCCUUGAUGCCCUGGGCUACACACGUGAUACAAUGGGUAGGACAGCAGGUCGCGAAGAGGCAACUCUGAGCCAAUCCUCAAAACUAUCCUCAGUUCGGAUUGGGGGCUGCAACUCGCCCCCAUGAAGUUGGAAUCGCUAGUAAUCGUGGAUCAGCAUGCCACGGUGAAUACGUUCUCGAGUCUUGUACUCACCGCCCGUCAAGUCAAGGGAGCCGGGGGUACCCGAAGUCUGCCUUUAUUGGUGGCCUAAGGUAAACUUGGUGACAGGGACUAAGUCGUAACAAGGUAACC
rnacentral:rRNA from 1 species